AAUUUCCUCCCCAAAGAACUAAUCAGGAGUUCCAUGGUAACUCUGCUAUUACCUUCCACGAAAGAGUGCAUGCCUGUAGUGACAAUUUUGGAAUUUUGCUUUCUUUAAAAAACAUAGAAAUAUAAGAAUAUAUUUUCAUUUUAGUCUCAGGCUGGGAUAUGGGACGGCUUCACAGCAGCUGACUAUGAUUUGCUUCAUGCUCUAGCUGGGGUGUGAUUUUGCCAGCUGCAGUUAGUUUCUCUAAUUUUGUGACAUUUGGGAUUCUGGGGACUUUUCAGGGGGUAUAUAAAAGCUAGGGCCCUGAGAGGUGGUGUAGGUUGUUGAUUGGUUGUUGUUGAUUGUGGUUUGUUAGGUAGUCAUGUGCGAAGAAGGAACCAGAAGUAGAAAUUAGUUAUCUUCACAAGGAAGAUCAAACUUGCCCCAGGGAAAUCAACAUUCCUAAUCAAGAGGAAGUAGUCUAAAGAUAAUGGCACCCCCUGACUUUAUUCAGGGACCUCUUGCCUCUCCUCUCUAUCCCUUUUUUCAACUCUAUCUAGUGUUGGGAGGUUGAAAAGGCAGAAGAAAAGGGGUGGAGAAGGGUGGAAGGAAGAAGAACUCACACAAUAGCAAAAGAACAGCUACACAUCUACCAGCUCCUAACCUUGAGCAUGAACCUGAGCUUUGAAACCAUGAACCUCUAGGGAACAUGCUCAAAACAUAUUCAAACUACAACACCAUGUCUAGACAGUCAUGAAUGUCGUCAGAGUGACCUGUGCUGACAGAUGCUUGCAGUCAGACUUCAGCAUGAUAAUGAGGUAGGACCUGAGUCUUGCUUCACUGACUGACAGAGUGGACUAUCCAAAAAGGAUUGGAAAUAUUUCAUUAUUUAAUUUAAUUUAAUUUAUUUAUUUAUGUUAAAAGAUUUAUUUAUUUUAUUUAUAUGAGUACACUGUAGCGGUCUUCAGACACCCCAGAAGAGGGCACUGGAUCCCAUUACAGAUGGUUGUGAGCCACCAUGUGGUUGCUGGGAUUUGAACUCAGGACCUCUGGGAGCACAGUCAGUGCUCUUACCCACUGAGCCAUCUCUCCAGCCCUAAUUUUAUUUUUAAUAUAGCAUUUUAAAUUUAGUUUUUGAGAAUUUCAUGCAUGGACACAAUGUAUUUUAAUCAUAUUUCUCCCCUACUCUUUUCCCUCCAACUCCUCCAAGAUCCUUCCACAUCCCCCUCCCAGAUUCAUGUCCUUGUUUGUUUUUUCAAUAACUCACUGAGUCUGAUUAACUGUCCAUAUAAACAUCAGCAUGGGGCACCCAUGGGCAUAGGGCACCCACUGGAGCGUAGUUAACCUAUACUUAUAAAGAAAACUGACCCUUCCAUUCCCUAAUACCAGUCAACUUGUCAAUAGCUCCUCAAGCAGGGUCAAGACUUGAUGAGCCCGCGCCAUCCCUGCUGGAGCGUUGACUGGCUUGGUCUUGUGCAGGUCUGGUGCAGGCACCAUCAGCUGCAGUGGGUUAGUGAGUGCAGCAUUCCUUCCGUGUUCAGAAGACACUGUUGCACCCAGCCUCGACUUCUGGCUCUGACAGUCUUUCUGCCCCCUCUUCCACAAUGUUCCUGGAGCCUUCAGGGGAGGGGUUAUCACAUACGUGUUCCAUUUACGGCUGAGCACUGCACAGUGGCUUAUUUUUUUGCUUGUUGACUGGUCAUGAGUGUCUGUAUUACCAAGACCCUUCCCUGGAUGAGGACUGAAAACUUGACAGUCAGUGUCUUUACCUACUGGAUGGCUCAUCUUCCCUUAGUGUGAACUUUUAGGGUAACAAGAUUUCUUUACACAAGUGCACACUAAAUUGAUUUAUUUACUUAGCAAACAUUCACAGAAUUCCUACUAUAUGCUAAGAAUUGAACUUAGUGCUAGAGAUUCAAAGAUGGGUGAAACAGCCCUCCUCUCUCAUCUCACCUGCAGAGGGCCAGUUUUCUUAGGACAAGAGCCAGGGUCGGCUGCCCGAAGAAGAGGUAAAGGUCUGUGAGACAUAGCAUAGCAGUAAGUGUAAAGGGAACUUUGCUUCAGUAUUUUUAAGCUCUCAGAACAAGGAGUAAAAUCCAACCAUUCUUUUGCAAGUACCUUCAAGGACAGUUUACAUAAAACUGGAAGGAAGGAAUUUAAAAGCUAUAGGAAGUAGUUAUUGGGUCUGGAGGAUUUGCCUAGCUGUUAAGAGCACUUGUUCCUACAGAGUACACAGCUUCAGUUCCCAGCACCCAUUUGCUGUCUCACAACCAUCUGUAACUCUAGUUUCAGAGAAUCCAACACCUGACCUGAAGGUACUUCAUACACAAGGUGCCCAUGCAUGCAUGCAUGCAGGCAAUAUACAUAAAAUAAAUCCUAAAAAGAAAAGUGGUUAUAUAACGUAGUGAAAAGAAAAUAUUAAUACUUUCAAAUGAGUAAAUUUGAGAUCUGAAGAUUUGUUUUGAACUGAUACACACACACAUAUACAUAUAUAUAUAUAUAUAUAUACAUAUGUACAUAGUAAUUUUCAAGUUGUUGUAAUAUAAUUUUUAAACAUUUUAAGUCAUAAAAAAUUAGCUGUUGGUACAAAGUAAAAAAAAAAAAAAAAAGAGAAGAAGAAGAAGAAAAAGGUUGAGCUGGAGAACCGAGAAGCACUGGGUGAGUUCAGAACCACCCUGGGCUACUUAGGGAAAACGUGCCUUAAAAUGAAAAGUUAAAAAAAAAAGGACUGGGGAUAGAGUGCUUCCUAGUGUGUACAAAGCUGUAGAUUUAGUUCUCAGUACUGCAAAAAGCAGAACACACACACAUACAC
rnacentral:lncRNA from 1 species